rnacentral:tRNA from 1 species
UGCGGGGUGGAGAAGUAGUAUCUUGCGUGGCUCAUAACCACGAGGCGUGGGUGCAAUUCCCGCCCCCGCAA